GGCACAGAACGAACGCUGGCGGCGCGUUUAAGCAUGCAAGUCGAGCGGCAAGGGCCUUCGGGCCCCUAGAGCGGCGGACGGGUGAGUAACACGUGGACAAUCUGCCCCCGGCCCGGGAUAGCCCAGGGAACCUGGAUUAAUACCGGAUGAGACGGGACCCGCGAUGGCGGGAUCCGGGAAAGGCGCUGCGGCGCCGCCGGGGGAUGAGUCUGCGUCCCAUUAGCUAGACGGCGGGGUAACGGCCCACCGUGGCGACGAUGGGUAGCCGGCCUGAGAGGGUGGACGGCCACAUUGGAACUGAGACACGGUCCAGACUCCUACGGGAGGCAGCAGCUAAGAAUCUUCCGCAAUGGGCGAAAGCCUGACGGAGCCGACGCCGCGUGAACGAAGAAGGCCGUGAGGUUGUAAAGUUCUUUUCGGGAGGGGGAACAACCGUGGCAGGGAAUGGCCGCGGGAUGACGUGAAUCCCGGAAUAAGCCCCGGCUAACUACGUGCCAGCCGCGGC
rnacentral:rRNA from 1 species